rnacentral:rRNA from 1 species
GAUGAACGCUGGCGGCGUGCUUAACACAUGCAAGUCGAACGAAGCAUUUGCGACAGAUUUUUUCGGAAUGAAGUUGCUUAUGACUGAGUGGCGGACGGGUGAGUAACGCGUGGGUAACCUGCCUUGUACUGGGGGAUAGCAGCUGGAAACGGCUGGUAAUACCGCAUAAGCGCACAAUGUUGCAUGACAUGGUGUGAAAAACUCCGGUGGUAUAAGAUGGACCCGCGUCUGAUUAGCUAGUUGGUGAGAUAACAGCCCACCAAGGCGACGAUCAGUAGCCGACCUGAGAGGGUGACCGGCCACAUUGGGACUGAGACACGGCCCAGGCUCCUACGGGAGGCAGCAGUGGGGAAUAUUGCACAAUGGAGGAAACUCUGAUGCAGCGACGCCGCGUGAGUGAAGAAGUAAUUCGUUAUGUAAAGCUCUAUCAGCAGGGAAGAUAGUGACGGUACCUGACUAAGAAGCUCCGGCUAAAUACGUG